rnacentral:rRNA from 1 species
GUAGGGAAUAUUGGGCAAUGGUCGGAAGACUGACCCAGCCAUGCCGCGUGCAGGAAGACGGCCCUCUGGGUUGUAAACUGCUUUUAUCUGGGAAGAAAAAGGCCAUGCGUGGCAAAUUGCCGGUACCAGAUGAAUAAGCACCGGCUAACUCCGUGCCAGCAGCCGCGGUAAUACGGAGGGUGCGAGCGUUGUCCGGAUUUAUUGGGUUUAAAGGGUGCGUAGGCGGCUGAUUAAGUCAGCGGUGAAAGACUUCGGCUUAACCGGAGCAGUGCCGUUGAUACUGGUUGACUUGAGUGUCGGAGGGGUACAUGGAAUUGAUGGUGUAGCGGUGAAAUGCAUAGAUACCAUCAGGAACACCGAUAGCGAAGGCAUUGUACUGGCCGACAACUGACGCUGAUGCACGAAAGUGUGGGGAUCGAACAGGAUUAGAAACCCGGGUAGUCC